CCGAUAUGCUUUGGGGAGCUGUACGUAAGCGUUGAUCCAGAGAUUUCCGAAUGGGGGAACCCACUAUCUUUAGUCGGAUAGUAUCCUUACGUGAAUACAUAGCGUGAGGAAGGCAGACCCAGGGAACUGAAACAUCUAAGUACCUGGAGGAAGAGAAAGAAAAAUCGAUUUCCUGAGUAGCGGCGAGCGAAACGGAAAGAGCCCAAACCAAGAAGCUUGCUUCUUGGGGUUGUAGGACACUCUAUACGGAGUUACAAAAGAAAGUUAUAAAUGAAGCGGUCUGGAAAGGCCCGCCAAAGACGGUAACAGCCCGGUAGUUGAAAUGGCUUUCCCUCCAGAGUGGAUCCUGAGUACGGCGGAACACGUGAAAUUCCGUCGGAAUCCGGGAGGACCAUCUCCCAAGGCUAAAUACUCCCUAGUGACCGAUAGUGAACCAGUACCGUGAGGGAAAGGUGAAAAGCACCCCGGAAGGGGAGUGAAACAGUUCCUGAAACCGUGUGCCUACAAGUAGUUAGAGCCCGUUAAUGGGUGAUAGCGUGCCUUUUGUAGAAUGAACCGGCGAGUUACGAUUUGUUGCAAGGUUAAGCGGAAAAAGCGGAGCCGUAGCGAAAGCGAGUCUGAAUAGGGCGCAUAAGUAACAGGUCGUAGACCCGAAACCAGGUGAUCUACCCAUGUCCAGGAUGAAGGUAAGGUAAUACUUACUGGAGGUCCGAACCCACGCACGUUGAAAAGUGCGGGGAUGAGGUGUGGGUAGCGGAGAAAUUCCAAUCGAACUUGGAGAUAGCUGGUUCUCUCCGAAAUAGCUUUAGGGCUAGCCUCGAGGUAAAGAGUCAUGGAGGUAGAGCACUGUUUGGACUAGGGGCCCUUCUCGGGUUACCGAAUUCAGAUAAACUCCGAAUGCCAUGUACUUAUACUCGGGAGUCAGACUGCGAGUGAUAAGAUCCGUAGUCGAAAGGGAAACAGCCCAGACCACCAGUUAAGGUCCCCAAAUAUAUGUUAAGUGGAAAAGGAUGUGGGGUUGCUUAGACAACCAGGAUGUUGGCUUAGAAGCAGCCACCAUUGAAAGAGUGCGUAAUAGCUCACUGGUCGAGUGACCCCGCGCCGAAAAUGUACCGGGGCUAAACAUAUUACCGAAACUGUGGAUGAACCUCUUUAGAGGUUCGUGGUAGGAGAGCGUUCUAAGGGCGGUGAAGUCAGACCGGAAGGACUGGUGGAGCGCUUAGAAGUGAGAAUGCCGGUAUGAGUAGCGAAAGAAGGGUGAGAAUCCCUUCCACCGAAUAUCUAAGGUUUCCUGAGGAAGGCUCGUCCGCUC
rnacentral:rRNA from 1 species